GUUGUCGUGCUUUUCAUAUUUCACCGUUGCGUUUUGAUAGAUAUGGAGGAUGAAGUUAGAGAAUUGGGGGAAAGAAGAGGAACUUCAAGUUUGGAUACCCAAGGCUGAGAAGGUUGGUAGGGAUUCAAGGGGGAUGCUUGGCCUACAUUACCUGUCUGCUAGGGACUAAGGAUGUUGGCCUGAGAGUAGUGGUAAGGAAUGAACAGGGCGAUUUUGUACUUUCCAGCCAGAUUCUAUCUUUAUGUGAAAGAAGCCACCUCACCGUUGUAAGUGGAAGCAAUAUCUCUAAGGUAGGCGCUAGGCAAUAUAGCGCAGCAAGCAUGAUUGGUGCACGGUAGAGGUUGAGACUAAAUGUGCAGCACUGGUAUCCACACUAUGCCGGCAAGCUGAGGACUUAUCUCCUAUUGGUUGGUUAGCGGAAUAUUGUUGUGCUUAUUUGAAUGUAACUCCUUCAAUUUACUAUCGACUGUUAUU